rnacentral:rRNA from 1 species
UACGGAGGGGGCGAGCGUUGUUCGGAUUUACUGGGCGUAAAGGGCGCGCAGGCGGCUCAUUUUGUCAGGCGUGAAAGCCCCGGGCUUAACCUGGGAACUGCGUUUGAUACGGAUGGGCUAGAGUUCGGGAGAGGAGAGUGGAAUUCCCAGUGUAGAGGUGAAAUUCGUAGAUAUUGGGAAGAACACCGGUGGCGAAGGCGGCUCUCUGGACCGAGACUGACGCUGAGGCGCGAAAGCGUGGGGAGCAAACAGG